UCCGGUUGCAUAUCAAUCAAUGGUAGAGCACGCGGCUGUUAACCGCGGGGUUGUAGGUUCGAGCCCUACUCGGGGAG
rnacentral:tRNA from 1 species